GUAGUUGAUCACUGGCUCAGGAAAUAAAACUCGUUCCUUGGUAAGGCCAUAGGUGAACGGGUGCUGAAUACAUCGGAAUCUACUUUUUCGUGGGGGAUAACGUAGGGAAACUUACGCUAAUACCGCAUACGACCUACGGGUGAAAGCAGGGGACCUUCGGGCCUUGCGCGAUUGAAUGAGCCGAUGUCGGAUUAGCUAGUUGGCGGGGUAAAGGCCCACCAAGGCGACGAUCCGUAUCUGGUCUGAGAGGAUGAUCAGCCACACUGGAACUGAGACACGGUCCAGACUCCUACGGGAGGCAGCAGUGGGGAAUAUUGGACAAUGGGCGCAAGCCUGAUCCACCCAUACCGCGUGGGUGAAGAAGGCCUUCGGGUUGUAAAGCCCUUUUGUUGGGAAAGAAAUCCAGCUGGCUAAUACCCGGUUGGGAUGACGGUACCCAAAGAAUAAGCACCGGCUAACUUCGUGCCAGCAGCCGCGGUAAUACGAAGGGUGCAAGCGUUACUCGGAAUUACUGGGCGUAAAGCGUGCGUAGGUGGUCGUUUAAGUCCGUUGUGAAAGCCCUGGGCUCAACCUGGGAACUGCAGUGGAUACUGGGCGACUAGAGUGUGGUAGAGGGUAGCGGAAUUCCUGGUGUAGCAGUGAAAUGCGUAAAGAUCAAGAGGAACAUCCAUGGCGAACGCAGCUACCUGGAACCAACACUGACACUGAGGCACGAAAGCGUGGGGAGCAAACAGAUUAAAUACCCUGGUAGUCCACGCCCUAAACGAUGCGAACUGGAUGUUGGGUGCAAUUUGGCACGCAGUAUCCGAAGCUAACGCGUUAGUUCGCCGCCUGGGGAGUACGGUCCCAAGACUGAAACUCAAAGGAAUUGACGGGGGCCCGCACAAGCCGGUGGAGUAUGUGGUUUAAUUCAUGGCAACGCGAAGAACCUUACCUGGCCUUUGACAUGUCAAUAACUUUCCAGAGAUGGAUUGGUUGCC
rnacentral:rRNA from 1 species